rnacentral:rRNA from 1 species
UACGUAGGGUGCGAGCGUUGUCCGGAAUUACUGGGCGUAAAGAGCUCGUAGGUGGUUUGUCGCGUGUGUCGUGAAAACUCACAGCUCAACUGUGGGCGUGCGGGCGAUACGGGCAGACUGGAGUACUGCAGGGGAGACUGGAAUUCCUGGUGUAGCGGUGGAAUGCGCAGAUAUCAGGAGGAACACCGGUGGCGAAGGCGGGUCUCUGGGCCGAUACUGACGCUGAGGAGCGAAAGCGUGGGGAGCGAACAGG